CGGGGAAUUUUGGACAAUGGGCGAAAGCCUGAUCCAGCAAUGCCGCGUGAGUGAAGAAGGCCUUCGGGUUGUAAAGCUCUUUUGUCAGGGAAGAAACGGUGAGAGCUAAUAUCUUUUGCUAAUGACGGUACCUGAAGAAUAAGCACCGGCUAACUACGUGCCAGCAGCCGCGGUAAUACGUAGGGUGCAAGCGUUAAUCGGAAUUACUGGGCGUAAAGCGUGCGCAGGCGGUUUUGUAAGUCUGAUGUGAAAUCCCCGGGCUCAACCUGGGAAUUGCAUUGGAGACUGCAAGGCUAGAAUCUGGCAGAGGGGGGUAGAAUUCCACGUGUAGCAGUGAAAUGCGUAGAUAUGUGGAGGAACACCGAUGGCGAAGGCAGCCCCCUGGGUCAAGAUUGACGCUCAUGCACGAAAGCGUGGGGAGCAAACAGGAUUAGAUACCCUAGUAGUCCCUGAGCGGGCUGGCAAGGCGCAU
rnacentral:rRNA from 1 species